UCUUGGUCAGGAUGAACGCUGGCGGCGUGCUUAAUACAUGCAAGUCGAACGAAGCACCUGCGACGGAUCCCUUCGGGGUGAAGAUGCUUGUGACUGAGUGGCGGACGGGUGAGUAACGCGUGGGUAACCUGCCUUAUGCAGGGGGACAACAGUUGGAAACGACUGCUAAUACCGCAUAAGCGCACGGCACCGCAUGGUGCAGUGUGAAAAGAUUUAUCGGCAUAAGAUGGACCCGCGUCUGAUUAGGUAGUUGGUGAGGUAACGGCCCACCAAGCCGACGAUCAGUAGCCGACUUGAGAGAGUGAUCGGCCACAUUGGGACUGAGACACGGCCCAGACUCCUACGGGAGGCAGCAGGUAGGGAAUAUUGCACAAUGGGGGAAACCCUGAUGCAGCCGACGCCGCGUGAGUGAUGAAGUAUUUCGGUACGUAAAGCUCUAUCAGCAGGGAAGAUAAUGACGGUACCUGACUAAGAAGCCCCGGCUAACUACGUGCCAGCAGCCGC
rnacentral:rRNA from 1 species